rnacentral:rRNA from 1 species
UACGGAGAGUGCGAGCGUAGUACGGAAUUACUGGGCGUAAAGGGCGCGUAGGCGGUGCAGUAAGUCAGAUGUGAAAGACCUGGGCUAAACCCAGGAAGUGCAGUUGAAACUGCUGUACUUGAGUAUGGGAGAGGAGAGUGGAAUUCCCAGUGUAGAGGUGAAAUUCGUAGAUAUUGGGAGGAACACCCGUGGCGAAGGCGACUCUCUGGACCAAUACUGACGCUGAGGAGCGAAAGCGUGGGGAGCAAACAGG